CCACUAUUGUAGUAUAUAAAAUAACCUGCGAAAGAAAAGUGUUGUGCAACUCUAGACGGAAAAAAUGAGGCAAUGGAGAGGCAUUGGGGAGUCUUUAAUGGUGGUUGCCCCCUCUCUUUUCGCCGUUGAUUUCCUUUUCCAAACAAUUAAACCACCAUUGUUUACAAAAUGCAUAUAUUGCCCCCUAAACUUCGAAAAAUGGGCAGAUUAGCCCCUUGUACUCUCACUUUCCUACCUCUGCACUAUGCCUAGCUUAUUUAGUCACUUUUUUUAAGGCCAAUCCAAACAGGCUCUUAUUAUAAUCACCGGAUAUAUGAGGCUAUGAUGAUGAUAAAUGUUGUUCGUCUAGAUUCGGGUCGGGUAAUCGGAGCAGCCCGUAUCUUGGCGGGGCGACCCGGUAAGGGGUCUGCAGCCAUGGCGGUUGCUUUUUGUCUCCUUUUUGCUCCUCAUUUUAUUACACAUCUGAGCCUCAAAUUAAACUGGAAUCCUAAACCCAAGAACAAGAAUGAGGCUGCAUAGAGAUGGCAAGUUUUCUCCGUCAUUUAGGUUCCGGACUCGACAAGUAACCUGCGAAAGAGAGCAUUCUGCAAUCUAGACAGAAAUAAUGAGGCAACUUAGAGGCAUUGGGGAGUCUGUAAUGGUGGUUGCCCCCUCUCUGUUCCUUUUGCCGAUGAUUUUCUUUCCCAUUUUCACACCAAAAAAAAAAAAAACAAUAAACCACCAUUGUUGAAAAUGUCAAAUACAUAUAUUGCCCCCUAAACUACUUCUGUUUCUUCACUUAUUGUUGACCUCUUCAUCUUCACUAUGGCUAGCUUUUUAAUCACGGAUAUGAGGUUGUGAUGAUAAUGGUGUUGUCUAGAGUUCGGUCGGGCAUCGGAGCUGCCUGUAUCUUGGCGGGGUGACCCGGUAAGGCAUCUCCGCUUUUUGCAACCGAGGUCUGCAGCCGUGGCGGUUGCUUUGUCUCCUUUGCCUGAUUUUAUCACAGAUAUGAGCCUCAAAUUGUUAGUGGAAAAGGGAAAGUGUUCCAUUAUGAUGCAUUCUACUACAAAAAGGGGCUAUGAUGAUGCGUAUAAAUCUUUCUGUUUCUGGGAUGAUCAUGACAUUGAGAUGCCCUGACCCGUAUCUUGGCGUGGCACAAUCUGGUAUGGCCUGUGAUUGCAAACUCCUCUCUCAUGCAACCGGUGUUUUGCAGCCAUAGCGUAUCUGGUUUCUCUUUUGCCUUAUGGCCCUUAUUAUACGCAUCUGAGCCUCAAUUUGCUGAAGAGCUUCAGUUGGCGUUUGGACAAUAUUUGAAUUGAAGCUGAGAAAUUCUUUUAAGAGCCCGUUUGGAUUGGCUUACAGCUUAAAGCUGUUUGCAGCUUAUAAGCUGAAAAAAAUAAGUUGGGGUAGUCCAACUUAUUUUUUUUGGCUUAUAAGCUG